UUGCACAAGUUGUACAUGACAUACAAAAGAAAAGUUAGUUAAAUAGCUGUCCAAUUUGGUUUUGAAACAUCUCAUGCAUCAAGUGAUGGAUAAGUGGAAGAAAGAUAGUGAAAACAUAUUCAAUUGAGGAUGAAUGAUCAAUAAACCAUAUGGAGAGAGUAUGUAUACUAGAAUGACAAAGGUAGAAAGAUAGUGAAAACAUAUUCAAUUGAGGAUGAAUAAUCAAUAAACCAUAUGGAGAGAGUAUGUAUACUAGAAUGACAGAGGUAGGAGAACUUAAGUUCAGGUUUCAGAAAAGAUGAGCUAGUCUUCAGGAAUUGCAAACCAAUGCAAUAGCAAUACCUAGUCAAAAAGCAACAUUAAGGUACAUAAUUUUAGAGUAGAAAAUUUCGAUUCUUCACCAACUCAUACACAACAUAGAUAAGCAUUUUGUAGAACACAAAGAAGUAUAAAAUUGAACUUUCUUAGUAGGAAAACAAACACAUCCAUCAUAUUUCUCUUUGGCUACUACACUAAUCAACCUUCAUGCCAUUCAGUGACACACAUAAAGGAUGAAUUCCUGCCAUUCAGAGUGUCUUUCCAACAACUAAGCAUAGAAUGUUUGGAGACAUCUAUACAACGACUUUAAGGCAU